AAAUGAAUUGACGGGGGCCCGCACAAGCGGAGGAACAUGUGGUUUAAUUCGAUGAUACGCGAGGAACCUUACCCGGGCUUGAACUAUGGUGGACCGUUCCAGAGAUGGAUCUUCCCUUCGGGGCCGCCAUGGAGGUGCUGCAUGGUUGUCGUCAGCUCGUGCCGUGAGGUGUCGGCUUAAGUGCCAUAACGAGCGCAACCCUUUCCGUUAGUUGCCAUCAGGUAAUGCUGGGGACUCUAUCGGUACUGCCAUCGUAAGAUGUGAGGAAGGUGGGGAUGACGUCAAAUCAGCACGGCCCUUACGUCCGGGGCUACACACGUGUUACAAUGGGGGGUACAGAGGGCUGCCACCUGGUGACAGGGAGCCAAUCCCGAAAACCCUUCUCAGUUCGGACUGGAGUCUGCAACCCGACUCCACGAAGCUGGAUUCGCUAGUAAUCGCGCAUCAGCCAUGGCGCGGUGAAUACGUUCCCGGGCCUUGUACACACCGCCCGU
rnacentral:rRNA from 1 species